ensembl:lncRNA
UCAUCUUCUGUUUCCAUUUUUGUUAGAACGUUAAGCCAAAUGGUCCAUCUGGCAUUCUCUCCUGCUUGUCAUUUUAUAAUAUAUAAAAAUAAAGUACAUUUUAAAAUUCUAAAUCAUCAGUUUUGUUUUCUCACAUAAGAACUGAACAUAAGAACUCAAAGUCUUUUACAGAAUAUUUUGGGGGGGUGGAGAGAGAUAAAACAAACAACCUCUUUAACUAAGUCUGCUUCUGAACCCUAUCUCACUGACUGCUCACAGACAAUAAUGGCCAGGAAGGAGCAAUGUACCAGGCUAGAAUGUAAAUGGAUGUUUCACAAAAUCAUCUCUUAAAAUUUUCAAAUAGUAUAGGGGUUGCAGCCACAUGUUUUCCAUUGGAAUGAACGUGUAUUGUGUGUAGGAGAGAAAAAGAUUCAGAAACAGACAAAAUGCCUUAGUAUUUCUUUGUAUGGUUUUCUGUUUGCAUUCUGGCAGUUUGAAAUAAAAAAAAAAAGGGUAAUAACUGCAGAAUGUGUUCAACAGACUGGCGAACACCUCCACGAGCACAAUCAACACAAGCUGAGAAGGACUACUUUACUUCAUGAAUACAUUUACAUUAUGUCUUGUGAAAUUACUGAGCAGCUGUUAGAGAAAAAAGAAACAUGAUCAGUAUUCUUGCAGAGGGACUUACUGAGGGCCAAUCAUCAAAUACACAUGGCAAACAGAAAUGGCAGUCUGAAAAGGUGAUAAGCAAUCAAGUACAGACAAAAGUGAGACACUGUGACCUUACAUUCGGCAUGAGUAGUAAAUUAACAUAUCUGUGCAGUGUACUAGGAAAUUAAGAUGACAAUAAGGACAAAGUGGAUUUAAGACCAGCCAUGGGCUGCACAAGUCUGAAAUAUCUAAUCUAGUCUAAUUACAGUCUAUUUUACAUCCCACAUCCCAAACCUUGGGCACCUAAUCUUUUCACCAGCAGCCAGCAUUUCACAGCUAGGUUUACAGACUUGACCUAUACGAUUAAGCAAGGCAUACUUUGUAUUUAUAAGACAUGGCCUAGGCAUGAAAUGGGGUAAUCUGAAGACAGACAAGUGAUUUAGAAAAUGGACUCAAUUAAUUUGUCUUCAUCCUUUAUGCAGCACUCUUUUUUUUUCUCAGCAGAAGUCAUUCCCCUUUGACCUGUAAGAGAUUCCUAUUAGGCAUGUCAAAGUACAAAAUGCAAAAGAGAAUGUCAUUCAGGUAAACUGAUUUCUGUGCUCUAGGCAUGCUCCUCUGCUGGGAGGACAAACCAAAAGCAGUCUGUUACACCAGCGCUAUACCUGAGAUGGCUCCCAGAAACAUGUUGAAACUCUGCCACCAAUUAAGAGAUAUUAGAGGUGAUCAUCCUUGUGUCAGAAGCUUAGCACCUCCCAAAAUUAUAUCAAUUUAUCCCAGGCAGAUAGAUGUUAGCAAUAGAGCUCAUAAAAUAACAUUUGAAGAGCAAACUUUUUGCCUUUGCAUCCAACACAUUGCCCCAUGUAUUAACUAAAUAAAAUAGAAAAAUUCUUCUAGAUACUUCCUUCAGAGGUCUUUAUCUACUAGUUUAAAUUGCAUGCUGGUCUGGAUUUGACUGCUAGUAUAUUUGACAUGCAUUUCAAGAACUGAAGGUUAAUAUUUCCUGCAGGCAAACUCUAUAAUUUUGCUUGCCCAGGAGUGUUGCUUUAUUCCUUAGAGGAGGUCAGGCAAGAAACUUCUUUUGAAAAGCAAGUAUUAAUUCAGUAGCCCUUCACCUGUUCCCCUGGAAGUAUACACACAAGGCUUAUGGACGCAUCUUUAAUUCAGUAAGGCAUUUUUUUACUGAGGAAAAGACAUUAACAUUAUCUGCAGUCUUUAGGUAAAUGUAAAGAGAUUUUGAAAGCAUGUAAAAUACAGCUGUAAAUGCCAUCAAAAUCUUAUAAAAAUAUAUAUGUGAUGGUAGCAUUUAGCAUUGCUAACAUUGUUCAGCAAUAUGAUAUAAAAUUAUAAACGUUUACCCAGCAGAAAGACUAUUAUGUAUUUUCAGGCAUAGAUAAUUGCAGAUUUCUGUAAAGAAAAUGAAUAGAAAGGGAAUAAACACAGCAGGUCUUUCUACAGAUUUCUGUAUGUUCUAGACAGGUCCACAUAUGCACUGGCUGAUCAGAGAGGCAGGUUAUGCAGAUGUGUAGUGUGUCUGAGAGACUUUCGAUGUUCCACACUCAUGACACAUACGGUACAUCAUACAUUCUUAUAUACAUGUGUGGCAACAUUUAAACUAGUGGGAACACUAACUCCUUCUCUUCCAAUAUGAUAUUAAGAGUCAGCAACAAAUUACUUAAUUUGUGGAUUAUUAAGAAAGUCUUAUAAGCCUAUUUAGAUAAUUUGGAGACUUCAAGCUGUGCAUAUAAAAGCAAGGUAAAAAGUGAGUAGGAGGUCAAAAAAGGUAAUGGAGAGGAAAUGUUCGUACAAUGAUGAGAGCUUGUCAAAGUCUUUGGUCAGAUAUCAGCACAGGCUAAUCGAGAUAAUUCCAUUUAUUUAAUGGACAUACACUAGCUCAUACAAGUGAACUUCUGUCCUCAUGUUACUGUUUUCGAUUUGUAAUAACUUGCAUUUACAUCUCUUUUCUUUGUCCAUAACUUUUUUUUUUCAUUUAUUAUUCUUAAGAAUAAGGAAC